UACGUAGGUGGCAAGCGUUGUCCGGAUUUACUGGGCGUAAAGAGCGCGCAGGCGGUCGUGCAAGUCGCGUGUGAAAGCCCCCGGCUCAACUGGGGAGGGUCACGCGAUACUGCUCGACUCGAAGGCAGGAGAGGGAAGUGGAAUUCCCGGUGUAGUGGUGAAAUGCGUAGAUAUCUGGAGGAACACCGGUGGCGAAGGCGGCAUCCUGGACCGGUAUUGACGCUGAGGCGCGAAAGCCAGGGGAGCAAACGGG
rnacentral:rRNA from 1 species